rnacentral:rRNA from 1 species
UACGGAGGGUGCAAGCGUUAAUCGGAAUUACUGGGCGUAAAGCGCACGCAGGUGGCUGAGUCAGUCGAUUGUGAAAGCCCUGGGCUUAACCUGGGAAUUGCAGUCGAUACUACUCAGCUAGAGUAUGGGAGAGGGUAGUGGAAUUCCCGGUGUAGCGGUGAAAUGCGUAGAUAUCGGGAGGAACAUCAGUGGCGAAGGCGGCUACCUGGCCCAAUACUGACGCUGAGGCGCGAAAGCCAGGGGAGCAAACGGG